rnacentral:rRNA from 1 species
UACGAAGGGGGCUAGCGUUGCUCGGAAUUACUGGGCGUAAAGCGCACGUAGGCGGCUUUCUAAGUCGGGGGUGAAAGCCUGUGGCUCAACCACAGAAUUGCCUUCGAUACUGGUUGGCUUGAGACCGGAAGAGGACAGCGGAACUGCGAGUGUAGAGGUGAAAUUCGUAGAUAUUCGCAAGAACACCAGUGGCGAAGGCGGCUCACUGGCCCGAUACUGACGCUGAGGCACGAAAGCGUGGGGAGCAAACAGGG